rnacentral:rRNA from 1 species
GAUGAACGCUAGCGGCAGGCUUAACACAUGCAAGUCGAGGGGCAGCGGGGAGGAAGCUUGCUUUCUCCGCCGGCGACCGGCGCACGGGUGAGUAACACGUAUGCAACCUGGCCGUGACAGAUGGAUAACCGGGAGAAAUCCCGCCUAAUACAGCAUGACGCCGGGAAGGGACAUCCCUUUCCGGCCAAAGGGGGCGACUCCGGUCACGGAUGGGCAUGCGGCGCAUUAGGUAGUUGGUGGGGCAACGGCCCACCAAGCCGACGAUGCGUAGGGGUUCUGAGAGGAAGGUCCCCCACAUUGGAACUGAGACACGGUCCAA